CGUGUGUGUGUGUGUGUAUGUGUUGUUUAUGUAUGUGUUGUGUUGUUUCAAAUUUGACUAUGGAAUACUUCGUGACCAUUAUUGACUUUAUCAAUGCGUUACAAUCUCAUGCUCUAAAUCUAUGCCACUGUACAUAUUCAAUCAAGCUUGCACCGUUUUUGUUUUGAUUCAUUCAACCGGUUGUUUGAUUUAUUAAGUGUACUAUUAUUUUCACUUCUCC